UGCCGAUAGACUAAGUUAUCAUCAUCACCAUUUAUAUUUUCCCAAAAAAAAUAAAUAACCUGCAGUUUUAAAACAAGGCUUCUCUCUGCUGGCCUUUUGACGCCCUCGGUUUGCUCGAAUAGCUAGGGUUGUGGAUAGUAAAGCCAAAAUCAAAGUGACUAGCAGUACACACGUUCUCAUCGUAAACGUCUUCCAAUUGGCAGUGAGAAUAAGCAACAAGAUUAUAUUUCAAGUCAGCAUAAUACUAUCCCAGAUGUAAUCCAAUGAAUCAAAAGAGAAGCAGGAAGGACUAAAAUCCUCAAUAGAAAGAUGUGCUUACAGCUAAAAUAAUAUUUAUUUUUUAAAAAUGCGUUUAUCAUUGGUUGUCCUCCAAUGGAGAAAUUAUCAGAUGUAAAGCUGAUAAGAAAUGUUAUAUUUAUUGUUUUAUUUUAUUUUUGAAAUUUUGGUUUAGGAUAAUAAUAACAUUUGCCUCCGUCAA